rnacentral:rRNA from 1 species
CCGCGACAUGCCAAACUACGAGCUGAUUUUAACCAUAUCAAUAAC